rnacentral:rRNA from 1 species
AGAGUGUACGCUGGCGGCAGGCCUAACACAUGCAAGUCGAGCGGCAGCACAGUCGUAGCAAUACGAUGGGUGGCGAGCGGCGGACGGGUGAGGAAUGCAUCGGAAUCUACCUUGUUGUGGGGGAUAACGUAGGGAAACUUACGCUAAUACCGCAUGAGACCGUAAGGUGAAAGCGGGGGACCUGUGAGGGCCUCGCGCGACAAGAUGAGCCGAUGCCGGAUUAGCUAGUUGGUGGGGUAAAGGCCCACCAAGGCGACGAUCCGUAGCUGGUCUGAGAGGAUGAUCAGCCACACUGGAACUGAGACACGGUCCAGACUCCUACGGGAGGCAGCAGUGGGAAUAUUGGACAAUGGGCGCAAGCCUGAUCCAGCCAUGCCGCGUGUGUGAAGAAGGCCUUCGGUUGUAAAGCUAACUUUUUGGUUAGGGUAAAGAAAUCCGUAGGGUAAUUAAGUACUCCCCGGUGCUGAACGUAACCGAAAGAAUAAGACACCGGACUAACUUCGUCGCCACG